CCUACGGGUGGCAGCAGUGGGGAAUAUUGCACAAUGGGCGCAGGCCUGAUGCAGCCAUGCCGCGUGUGUGAAGAAGGCCUUCGGGUUGUAAAGCACUUUCAGCGGGGAGGAAGGCGGUGAGGUUAAUAACCUCAUCGAUUGACGUUACCCGCAGAAGAAGCACCGGCCAACUCCGUGCCAGCAGCCGCGGUAAUACGGAGGGUGCAAGCGUUAAUCGGAAUUACUGGGCGUAAAGCGCACGCAGGCGGUCUGUCAAGUCGGAUGUGAAAUCCCCGGGCUCAACCUGGGAACUGCAUUCGAAACUGGCAGGCUAGAGUCUUGUAGAGGGGGGUAGAAUUCCAGGUGUAGCGGUGAAAUGCGUAGAGAUCUGGAGGAAUACCGGUGGCGAAGGCGGCCCCCUGGACAAAGACUGACGCUCAGGUGCGAAAGCGUGGGGAGCAAACAGGAUUAGAUACCCUAGUAGUC
rnacentral:rRNA from 1 species